rnacentral:rRNA from 1 species
AAUGGGUCAGCGACUUAUAUUCUGUAGCAAGGUUAACCGAAUAGGGGAGCCGAAGGGAAACCGAGUCUUAACUGGGCGUUAAGUUGCAGGGUAUAGACCCGAAACCCGGUGAUCUAGCCAUGGGCAGGUUGAAGGUUGGGUAACACUAACUGGAGGACCGAACCGACUAAUGUUGAAAAAUUAGCGGAUGACUUGUGGCUGGGGGUGAAAGGCCAAUCAAACCGGGAGAUAGCUGGUUCUCCCCGAAAGCUAUUUAGGUAGCGCCUCGUGAAUUCAUCUCCGGGGGUAGAGCACUGUUUCGGCAAGGGGGUCAUCCCGACUUACCAACCCGAUGCAAACUGCGAAUACCGGAGAAUGUUAUCACGGGAGACACACGGCGGGUGCUAACGUCCGUCGUGAAGAGGGAAACAACCCAGACCGCCAGCUAAGGUCCCAAAGUCAUGGUUAAGUGGGAAACGAUGUGGGAAGGCCCAGACAGCCAGGAUGUUGGCUUAGAAGCAGCCAUCAUUUAAAGAAAGCGUAAUAGCUCACUGGUCGAGUCGGCCUGCGCGGAAGAUGUAACGGGGCUAAACCAUGCACCGAAGCUGCGGCAGCGACACUAUGUGUUGUUGGGUAGGGGAGCGUUCUGUAAGCCUGCGAAGGUGUACUGUGAGGUAUGCUGGAGGUAUCAGAAGUGCGAAUGCUGACAUAAGUAACGAUAAAGCGGGUGAAAAGCCCGCUCGCCGGAAGACCAAGGGUUCCUGUCCAACGUUAAUCGGGGCAGGGUGAGUCGACCCCUAAGGCGAGGCCGAAAGGCGUAGUCGAUGGGAAACAGGUUAAUAUUCCUGUACUUGGUGUUACUGCGAAGGGGGGACGGAGAAGGCUAUGUUGGCCGGGCGACGGUUGUCCCGGUUUAAGCGUGUAGGCUGGUUUUCCAGGCAAAUCCGGAAAAUCAAGGCUGAGGCGUGAUGACGAGGCACUACGGUGCUGAAGCAACAAAUGCCCUGCUUCCAGGAAAAGCCUCUAAGCAUCAGGUAACAUUAAAUCGUACCCCAAACCGACACAGGUGGUCAGGUAGAGAAUACCAAGGCGCUUGAGAGAACUCGGGUGAAGGAACUAGGCAAAAUGGUGCCGUAACUUCGGGAG